GUGCUCGCUUUGGCAGCACAUAUACUAAAAUUGGAAUGAUACAGAGAAGAUUAGCAGGGCCCCUGCAUAAGGAUAACAUGCAAAUUUGCAAAUUCGUGAAACAUACCUUU